GCUCCCGGGCAAUCGCAGACCUUCGCCUCAGCCACUUUUGGCGGGAGCUUUGAGGCGGGAAAGGGAGACGCCUUUAUCCCCGACCCGUCUGCAACGAACCGCCAGUAACGGCCGGGCGGGGCAGGUGAUCUGAGACUGCGAGGCAGAGAGCGGCCAGUUCAGCGAGCGUCGGAUCCAGCCCGACCUCGCUGCGCCUGGCCAGAGCCCGCGUGCCCCACACAGAGAAAUCGCGCUACGGCCCCUGGGCUUGAACAGGAGAUCGGCCUAGCAAGGGGGCCUGGUCUAGUUAGGUUAACCUGGCCCCCGCUGUACUGACAGCUAAUUCUUCCAUCCACAUAGCGCCUGCCUCCUGGAGAGUACUAACAGGUCAUUGCCUGCUCUUUCACAAUGAAAGCCAUGGAGGAUCAAGUGGUGCAAGAAGAACUAGGGUACCAGGAUGAUGAGGAAUCCUUAUUUCAGGAUAUUGACUUGUUACAGAAACAUGGAAUUAAUGUGGCUGAUAUUAAAAAGCUGAAGUCUGUAGGAAUUUGUACUGUCAAAGGGAUCCAGAUGACAACAAGGCGUGCACUGUGCAAUGUGAAAGGGCUUUCUGAAGCCAAAGUGGACAAGAUCAAAGAAGCAGCCAAUAAGCUAAUUGAGCCGGGAUUUUUGACUGCCUUUGAGUACAGCGAGAAACGGAAGAUGGUGUUCCAUAUCACCACUGGAAGCCAGGAAUUUGAUAAACUAUUAGGUGGUGGGAUUGAGAGCAUGGCAAUCACAGAGGCCUUUGGAGAAUUCAGAACCGGUAAAACGCAGCUUGCCCACACCCUUUGUGUGACAGCACAGCUUCCUGGAGCAGAUCGGUACACAGGAGGAAAAAUUAUCUUCAUUGAUACCGAAAAUACUUUCCGUCCAGAUCGUCUUCGUGACAUUGCUGAUCGCUUCAAUGUAGACCAUGAUGCAGUGCUUGACAACGUGCUUUAUGCACGUGCAUAUACCAGUGAACAUCAGAUGGAGUUGCUUGAUUAUGUAGCAGCCAAAUUCCAUGAGGAAGCUGGCAUCUUCAAGCUGUUGAUUAUCGACUCCAUAAUGGCACUCUUCCGUGUAGAUUUCAGUGGACGUGGGGAGCUGGCUGAGCGGCAACAGAAACUUGCUCAGAUGCUAUCGAGGCUCCAGAAAAUUUCAGAAGAAUAUAAUGUGGCUGUGUUUGUGACCAAUCAGAUGACUGCUGAUCCAGGAGCAACUAUGACUUUUCAGGCAGACCCCAAGAAGCCCAUUGGUGGCCACAUCCUUGCUCAUGCUUCAACCACAAGGAUUAGUUUGCGGAAGGGAAGAGGGGAGUUGCGUAUUGCCAAGAUAUAUGACAGCCCUGAAAUGCCUGAAAAUGAAGCUACAUUUACAAUAACUGCUGGAGGGAUUGGGGAUGCCAAAGAAUAGAUGGAAAAACUGGUGAAAAUCUCCGUUGGAAACAGCUUGUGAAUCUCAGACGAAGCCAUGGUAUCCAAGGUCUGACUCCUUGGUUACUUGGAAUUUUUCCAUACACAGUUUGGAAUGUUUACAGUUAGAGGAAUGCUGGGAAGAGCUUUUUACGUAUCAUAUUUCAAUAAUCUUAACAGUUCCUGGGUCACCUUAGUUCUAUUUUAAAAAGAUCUUUCAAGUAGCCACAUGUUUAAGAAGCACAGAAAUAUGACUUAUGCAUGGUUCACGAGAAUCAAAGUUGUUGUAUCACAUGGGUUUAAUAUUCCUUUCCUAAGAAACUAUAAAAAAGUGCACAUCUGGAAGAGAAUACAGUGGCAUGGAAUGGAACAGCACUGUGAAAUAUAGGGGUUUUUUUUAAAUAGUGGAGUAACUAGUAGAUAGAGGGAAAGUGCAGUGAAAGAAAUAAGAAUAGGUGAACUUGCUAAUGUUUCAUUGACAGUUGUUUGAAAAGAUUUUUUAAAAUCUUGAUAGAUUGUUUACUUGUUUUUAAAGUGCCCGUAUUUCUAUUUUGGAACAUUUAAAGCUGUUAUUUAUUUUUUAUAUCUGAAAAAUGAUAAAUUAAAUCAUCUU